UGCAGGGUCUUGACGUUGCGU
rnacentral:siRNA from 1 species